rnacentral:rRNA from 1 species
UUUUGAGAAUCCUGGAGGUAGAGCACUGUUUGGACGAGGGGCCCAUCCCGGGUUACCGAAUUCAGACAAACUCCGAAUGCCAGUGAUUUGUGAUUGGGAGUCAGACUGCGAGUGAUAAGAUCCGUAGUCAAGAGGGAAACAGCCCAGACCACCAGCUAAGGUCCCCAAAUAUCCGUUAAGUGGAAAAGGAUGUGGCGUUGCUUAGACAACCAGGAUGUUGGCUUAGAAGCAGCCAUCAUUUAAAGAGUGCGUAAUAGCUCACUGGUCGAGUGACACUGCGCCGAAAAUGUACCGGGGCUAAACGGAUUACCGAAGCUGUGGAUGGACAUCUGAGAUGUCCGUGGUAGGAGAGCGUUCUAAGGGCGUUGAAGCCGGACCGGAAGGACGGGUGGAGCGCUUAGAAGUGAGAAUGCCGGUAUGAGUAACGAAAGACGGGUGAGAAUCCCGUCCACCGAAUGCCUAAGGGUUCCUGAGGAAGGCUCGUCCGCUCAGGGUCAGUCGGGACCUAAGUCGAGGCCGAUAGGCGUAGACGAUGGACAACAGGUUGAUAUUCCUGUACCACCUCCCCGCCGUUUGAGCAAUGGGGGGACGCAGAAGGAUAAGGCGAGCGCGCCG